GAUGAACGCUGGCUACAGGCUUAACACAUGCAAGUCGAGGGGAAACGACGGGGAAGCUUGCUUCCCCGGGCGUCGACCGGCGCACGGGUGAGUAACGCGUAUCCAACCUGCCUCUGACUGAGGGAUAACCCGUCGAAAGUCGGCCUAAUACCUCAUGGUAUCGUCUGCGGGCAUCCAACGACGAUUAAAGAUUUCAUCGGUCAGGGAUGGGGAUGCGUCUGAUUAGCUUGUUGGCGGGGUAACGGCCCACCAAGGCUACGAUCAGUAGGGGUUCUGAGAGGAAGGUCCCCCACAUUGGAACUGAGACACGGUCCAAACUCCUACGGGAGGCAGCAGUGAGGAAUAUUGGUCAAUGGGCGAGAGCCUGAACCAGCCAAGUAGCGUGCAGGAAGACGGCCCUAUGGGUUGUAAACUGUUUUUAUGCGGGGAUAAAGUGAGGGACGGGUCCCUCAUUGCAGGUACCGCAUGAAUAAGGACCGGCUAAUUCCGUG
rnacentral:rRNA from 1 species